CAUAUACUCCCUCCGUCCGGAAAUACUUGUCGGAGAAAUGGAUGUAUCUAGACAUAUUUUAAUUCUAGAUACAUCCAUUUUUAUCCAUUUUUGUGACAAGUAAUUCCGGACGGAGGGAGCACUAG
rnacentral:pre_miRNA from 1 species